rnacentral:rRNA from 1 species
CAGCGAUGCCGCGUGAGUGAAGAAGGCCUUUGGGUUGUAAAGCUCUUUCGUCGGGGAAGAAAAUGACUGUACCCGAAUAAGAAGGUCCGGCUAACUUCGUGCCAGCAGCCGCGGUAAUACGAAGGGACCUAGCGUAGUUCGGAAUUACUGGGCUUAAAGAGUUCGUAGGUGGUUAAAAAAGUUGGUGGUGAAAUCCCAGAGCUUAACUCUGGAACUGCCAUCAAAACUUUUUAGCUAGAGUAUGAUAGAGGAAAGCAGAAUUUCUAGUGUAGAGGUGAAAUUCGUAGAUAUUAGAAAGAAUACCAAUUGCGAAGGCAGCUUUCUGGAUCAUUACUGACACUGAGGAACGAAAGCAUGGGUAGCGAAGAGGAUUAGAUACCCUCGUAGUCCAUGCCGUAAACGAUGUGUGUUAGACGUUGGAAAUUUAUUUUCAGUGUCGCAGCGAAAGCCAUAAACACACCGCCUGGGGAGUACGACCGCA